GCCAAUUCCAGGGGGCUCGGGACACACCACAGCACUUUGGGGCCGAAUCCGGGGGUUUGGGACACACCACGGACAGUUUGGGGCCAAUUCCGGGGGGUUUGGGGCUGACGCAGCCAAAUGGCCGCCCCACGUGACUGCGGCCAUUUCAGGGCCGGGGACACACGGACACGCGUGUGACACACGUCACACACUCGUCACACACAUGUCACCAUGUCACACACAUGGCACACACAUGGCACACACCUGUCACACACAUGGCACACACAUGUCACACGUGUCAGGGGAUCCCUGAGCUUUGGGGGGGGGGGGUCCCCUCGUUACUACUAACGAGCCCUUGGGGGAAAAUGAUUUUGAGGCAAAUCCUGCACAUUUUGGGGCAUCACUCACUGUCCAGAGGCCCCAAAUCCUCCUUUUUCACUCUUUAACCCCAUUUUCACCCUUUUCUCUGCCAGCUGGGGCUGAGUUUAACCCAUUUAUCACUGGUUUUUAUCCAUAACCCCCACGCGCCCGCACUCUGCAGCAAAACUGCCUCGACCCCAAAUAACUUUUUUUUUUAAGUCAUUUUUUGGAAAUUUAAGGCUUUUUAAAGGCAGAACCGGUGGUUCGGGAGAGUUUUGUGCUGUGGCGUUACUGGGGUUUAAAGGACGCGGGGGAAAUUGCUCUGAAAUCCUGCGUUUACAAACGAAACAAACCAAAAAAAAAAAAACCAAAAGGAGUGGAAAUAUAAAUAUUUGAUGGUACAAAGAAAUAUUUUUGAAUAAAUAUUUUGAGAAACGGUUUCCUGAGGGGAAUCGGGAAGGACGCGACCCCGCCCGGCGCCAUUUUGGGGGGGGAGGAGAGCGAGUCAUCGCUGAAUAAAAGGGCGUUUUCUGAGCGAAAUGAGGCGUUUCUGAGCUGAGAAAUUAAGGCUUUUGUGAGGGAAACCGAACACUUUUCUGAGGCAAACCAAGCAUUUUUGAGACGAAUCGGGCAUUUCUGAGGGAAAAGAGACGUGAAGUAAUAUGAGACAUUUCUGAGGCACGUAUGACAUUUCUGAGGCGAAUCGGACAUUUUCUGAGGUUUUGGUGAAAACCAGUGAAAAACACCUUUGCAGAGGAAAACGCCCGACAAUGGCCCCUCCAGGCCCAGCUCCUGUGAAAAAGCAGCUUUUUGGAGCAUUUCCGUGCAAAAGCCCGUGAAUUGUGGGCAUGUCAGAGGUGCUAAAAUAAAACAAAGCUGCAGGGGAGGGGGGAUGAGGCUGAAAUAACCAUAAAUGGGCAAAUUAUUGCUGCAAAAAUCACCACUGAGGGAAAGCUCCCCAAAAUUCAGGGGUUUUGAGAGGGGGGGAGGCCUGAAAUGGGAGGGGGAUGAUCAAUCCGAGGGGGUUUAAUGGCAGAAUAACGCAGGGAAAUAAUAAUGAUAAUGAUAAUAAUUAACAGCAAUGAGGUAACAUUUUCUCCUGCAGGAAACGCCCCGGAAAUGUUGGAACACCCUUCUCCCCCCAACCCCUAAAAUGCCUCCUUGGCUUCGUCAGCAGCUUUAAUUAGCCCCAGAGCAGCGUUAAUUAGCAUUAAUUACAGGUUUGGGGGGCACGGGGGUCCCCUCCCUGAGGGCAAUUCUGGGGUGUCAUUUCCUGCCUGGAAACGCCCCCGAAUGCUGGAAAAGAAGGCUUCCAAAUCCAACAAAAUGCCUCAAAAACUCCUCAAAAUGCCUUAAAAUAGUGGAGUUUUAUUCACCUGGUCGAAAAGAAGGAGUCCCGUGACUCAGCGGGGCCCAAAAUGGGCUGAAAGGCCUCGAUUUUGGUGCAUUUCAGUGGGAGAGAAGAAACAAAAAUGGUGGUUUGGGCUGUGCUGCAGGAGGGGGCAAAAACGUUAAAAAAAAAAAAAAAAGGUCGUUUGGGCUUUGUUGGGAUGCAAAAAAGACGUGAAAAAAGGGGGUUUUGGGGUCUCUGUCCCCUCGAGAAUUUUUUUUUUUCCCCCGGAGAUUUGGGAUCUUUUUGGGGCACAAAAAGAGCCCUUUUGGCAGCGGCCCAACCCCGUGACGCAGCAAAAGCCAAAACGGCGGCCAAAUGAAGGGACAAAUAACAAAAAAAAAGCUCUAAAAUCCAACGGCCGGGAAGGUGGCAGCGGGGGGUGGGGGUUUUGGGGCAGAAUGGGCCAAAUCGAGCGAAAAACCGCAGUUAAAUCAGUUAAAUUUAACCGGUUUCGUGCCGGAACCCGCAGGGCCCGGGAGGGGAGGGGGCGGUUUGUGAGGGGGAAAAAUCCAAGAAAAGGGGAAAAACCGGCAAAUAAUGAGAAAGCAGGUUUUUUCAAGGGGGGAGGGGGGGAGAUUUUGGGGUCCGAGGCCCUUUUUUGGCGAUUUUAGGGACUAUUUUGCCCCCCCCGGGGGCGGGGCCGGGGCCCGUUUAUAAGGGAGGGCCCCGCGGUGGGAGCGCCCGGCCGGGAAACAGCCCCGAAAGCGCCCGAAUUCGGCCCAAAAGCGCUCGGCCAGAGCCCGGAGUGCUCGGAGCCGCUCGAUUUUAUACAACAAAAAGCUCCUAAAAUGGCUUUAUUUUCUACAGAAAGCUCCGCAAACGGCUUUACUGCCGAUAAAAAGCUCUUAAAGCUGGGCUGGUUUGAGGAGAAAGCUCCUAAAGCCGCUUUAUUUUAUAAAAGCAGCUCCUAAUUCUGCGUUAUUUAAAGGAGAAAAAGGGACAAAAGCUGUUUCCUUGAAAGAAAAGUCGGCUCUUAAAGCUGUUUUCUUUCGCUUUUGUGCUGCAGUGGCGGCGAUCCCAGCGAUGGGAAGAGCCGGGGCGCUUUACUGGGAACGAUUCAUGGAAAACCUCCUGAUUUAACAAAAAAAUCGGCUCCUAAAGCUGGUUUUUAUUUAAACCGAAGCUCUUAAAGCUGGUUUUAGAGAAAUCGCUGCCUUCAAGGCCGGUUUCUGGGCAAAACCGCGGCUCUUGCAGCUGUUUUAUUUAAUCCUGAAAAUAUCCUAAUGGAUGUUUUCUCAAAGCCGGAGCGAGCUGGGGCAGUUUAACCGAAAAUGAGCUUUUUAAGCUGCUUUAAUUUAAAAUACAGAGAAAAAGCGCUCGUUACGCUGAUUUCUGCUAAAAGACCAGCUCCUAAAUUUGGAUUAAUUUAAAUUUUAAUUUUUAACAAGCUCCUAAAGCUUCCCCAAGGGGUUUUGCCCCGUCGGGGCCGGGCAGCGCAGGGGGCGGCCGGUUUGGGGUGAAACGCGGCAUUUUCAGGCUCAGGAUGAACAGAGAGGAGCCAGUUUGGGGGAGAAGCAGGAAAACCGAAGAGUGAAGAUGGAGCCGGCAGGGAAAGGGACCUUUUUCCUCGCAGCGGCCCCAGCUGGGGGAAAAAAUGGACUUUUUGGUAAAAAAGCGGCGGUUGGGCAGGGGAGGAGCAGAGAGAAGAGAGAAAAGAGCAAAAAAGGACAGAAAAUAGAACC